GGCCCGUUACCUCAGUUGGUUAGAGCGUGGUGCUAAUAACGCCAAGGUCGUGGGUUCGUUCCCCCCACGGGCCA
rnacentral:tRNA from 1 species